AUUGAACGCUGGCGGCAGGCCUAACACAUGCAAGUCGAGCGGAGCGGCGGACGGGGGAGUAAUACCUAGGAAUCGGCAUGGUAGUGGGGGAUAACGUUCGGAAACGGAAGCUAAUACCGCAUACUCUCAGCUGAGCCUAGGGCGGAUUAGCUAGUUGGUGAGGUAAUGGCUCACCAAGGCGACGAUCCGUAACUGGUCUGAGAGGAUGAUCAGUCACACUGGAACUGAGACACGGGCCAGACUCCUACGGGAGGCAGCAGGGGGGAAUAUUGGACAAUGGGCGAAAGCCUGAUCCAGCCAUGCCGCGUGUGUGAAGAAGGUCUUCGGAUUGUAAAGCACUUUAAGUUGGGAGGCGUUACCGACAGAAUAAGCACCGGCUAACUCUGUGCCAGCAGCCGCGGUAAUUC
rnacentral:rRNA from 1 species